rnacentral:misc_RNA from 1 species
UACUACUUCACUUGGCAUUAGCCUUUGGGUCGUCAGCGCCGGGGAUGAUCUUGCUGCUGCAGAUGCAGUCGUUCUUGAGGACGCAGUCGACAAAGCAGGUCUGGACAGCAUCAGCCGACUCAAGGAUGCACUUACCGGCACAGGCGCAGUUCUUGGAGCAGAUGCACUCGUUGUUGGGAACACGAGGAUCAAUCACCGUUUCGGUGCAGAUGUUGCUGGGAUUGGGAUGUUCUACGGCCAUUCCGACGAUGAUUUGGCCGACGACGGCCAGCAGCAUCAAGCAAACAAUUGUCAUCUUCCUCUGUGCACGGGAAGCCAUGGCGACGGCCGACGGGUUUUGUGUAACUGUGUGAGCGAUAGAUGGCUACUCGUUUCUGCGAGUUGCUGUGUGCCGGCCGCUCCAUAUGGCGUUGGUAUUUAUAGG